UACAGAGGGGGCAAGCGUUUGUUCGGAAUUACUGGGCGUAAAGGGCGCGUAGGCGGCCUGUUAAGUCGAACGUGAAAUCCCCGGGCUCAACCCGGGAACUGCGUCCGAUACUGGCAGGCUUGAAUCCGGGAGAGGGAUGCGGAAUUCCAGGUGUAGCGGUGAAAUGCGUAGAUAUCUGGAGGAACACCGGUGGCGAAGGCGGCAUCCUGGACCGGCAUUGACGCUGAGGCGCGAAAGCCAGGGGAGCAAACGGG
rnacentral:rRNA from 1 species